rnacentral:lncRNA from 1 species
CAGUUUGAAAUACCUCCACAGAUUCCUGGCCUAUACAUUCUCUGGGAGGAAGGAUGCUUCCAACAUCCUGACCAGAACUGAGUUGUAUAUCCUUUGGUGCAUGCACAGGGGCAGGAAAAUUCAUCUUGGAUAUUGGGUUGCCACCCAACUAUCCAGCAUCAUACAAUAUAACAGGCCCUUGAUUUUUGGUCCUUUGAUCACUGCCAUUGCAGUGAAUCUCAAAUUAUUGCACCCAGCACAUACUGACCUCUCCCCCACCCCCAAAACAACCCCCUUGGACCUACG